CAGAGUUGGACACGACUGAAGGGACUUAGCACGCAUGCACCAGCGCAAAGAGAGUAUUUGGAAGAGAAAGUUGUAUUGGAGAGUGUGUGAAGUCCCUUUUAGAGGUGAUUCCUGGUGUGUCAGGACUUUUGUUAGCAGGCAGAGGGGACUAUGUCAGGAGAGAUUUGGGUAAACUCCAGUGUCAGGAACAGAGAGAAGUCCUGGGAUUCUGAAGUGGGUGAAGAGAAAAGAAGAGUGGUCCCAUGUCCUCCCUUCACUGACAUUUUUCCUUCAUAAUGACACUUAACCCCAUCACAGUACCAACUGUGAAGAUUACGUCCACAUCCUCAUCAUCUUACUGAAUCCCUAUAACAGCAGGGCUGGUUUAUCAUUGUCUUCACUUGGCAGUUGAGAAGCCUGGGACCCUAUAAAGCCACUUGCUGGAGGUCACACAGGUAGUAGGUGAGGGAGCUGGAACUGGAACUCUCUCCUGGUUCUCCUUCCAUGGACUGGCCUAGCCCACCCUGGGGGCCAUGUGAGAGUCAAGGUUAGAGGCAGGUGAGUGCUGACAUUGGCAUCAGCCUUGGACACAGGGAUUACAUUAGCAGGUUCUGCUUUUGGCAUCAGGUAGCCCUGGGGAGGCAGGGUAUCCUGUUGGCACUGAGCCUGCCCCCAGGUAGACUCUAGGGUUAAACACGUUGAUACUGAACCUGAUGCCAGGAAAACAGUAAUAGAGCCACUUGUAUCAAGAGGGCUCUGAGGGCUGCCUUCAGGACAGCAUAAAGCUGGCAGCAUAGAGAUCCAGAGGCUGGUCCAAGUGGGUUCUGAUAUGAACAUCCCAUGGGUGCUGAGAUGGAUCCUCUGUGGGCCUGAGAGGGGGCCCCGGAUGGACCCCAGACAGGCUCUGACAGUCGGACAACCCUGCUCAGGUGCCACCUCUAACCUUGGACAAGAACAGCAUCACGGUCUUUGCAUCAGGUGGCCAAAGUAUUGGAUAAGAAACCAUGACAGGCACCAAGUAGAAGAUGAAAUUAAAUGACUUUCCAAGCCAGGGAUUCUGAGAUUCCACAUCCUAAGGUUCUAAAGUGUGAAGAGUUGAAAGCUGUGUGAUUCUAAAGUUUCAGGAUGAUGUCUUCUUUCCAGUGGGGAAUGAGGUCUGCCAGCAACUUCAGGAACUGCUCGUCCUCAUAGUCAAAGCGGCUUCCAAAGACGACGGAACUGAUGACGUUGGAGACAGUGCGGCUCAGGAAGAAAAAUGUGAAGAUCACCAGGAUGGACACGUGGCAAACAGGAAGAGGCUGCAGACCUCUCAGAUCUCUGUGUAACCAGGAAGAAGGAAUUAACCUUGGCCAUGGGCCCUGGCUACAAAGGUCCUGGGACUCAGCUUCUUCGGUAACCUGAAUACCUUCAGAUUAAAUUUCCUGGGGGUUGGAUCUCACUUGGGAGCUUACCAUGCUGUGGAGUUUAUAUAACUUCUAGUCCUUCCUCUGAAUGACCAUUGAGUGCCGAGCUCAUGAGGUGGUUCUCUCCACUUUGUCCCUCCAGUCCCCUCCUCAUUCAUGUCCACACACUCCAAUUUUAUUCUUUGAGAGCAUGGAGGGCUUCCCUGGUGUCUCAGACAGUAAAAAAUCUGUCUGCGAUGCAGG